rnacentral:rRNA from 1 species
UACGUAGGGUGCAAGCGUUGUCCGGAAUUAUUGGGCGUAAAGAGCUCGUAGGCGGUUCGUCGCGUCGGCUGUGAAAACCCGGAGCUCAACUCCGGGCCUGCAGUCGAUACGGGCGGACUUGAGUGUUGCAGGGAGACUGGAAUUCCUGGUGUAGCGGUGAAAUGCGCAGAUAUCAGGAGGAACACCGGUGGCGAAGGCGGGUCUCUGGGCAACUACUGACGCUGAGGAGCGAAAGCGUGGGGAGCGAACAGG